CGAAUCUAAAUCGAGAGAGGGAGAGCGAAACCUGUGAAAUAAAACAUGCGAAAUCCUGUUUCCCUGGAAACAAAUACUGGAUCUGAGACAUGGUAAAAUCAUCCCAAUGAGAAAGGCCGCUUCAUGUCUUCGUUGGAAAAUGGGCUUCUUUCGGAAUAUCAAUUAGCUGAUGAAGGUGUUAACCGGGCAAGAUUAGCAGGUGAAUCAUUCCAAAAGAGGUAGAUUUUUUGGUCAAUAAAAUGUGAGAGUUAUGAGUUAUUUGAUGGUAUUCAAGCACAUCUAUCCACCGGUUCAUCCCCCAAAGUUCCUGAGGCGGUACGAAAGUUCCCUUACAAAGUGUUAUUGGAGGAGGUGCCUCGGUUGACUGCAUGGCCAACACCGUUUAAGGAUCAGGCUACGAAAGGCAUUAUAGGUCUCUAUUUAUUCGCGAAUGAUGCCAAGAGGUUUGUUUUUUGUCACUUUACAUAGUCGACUGGUUGAAUUCACUUGGGUGACACUUAAUAGUCAGGUUUUACUCUAUGGUUGCUCAUUGUCACUGUAUUUUAUAAUAUCGAAUUGCAUCCAGGUAUAAUUACUUUUAUGUCUUCUCGUGUGUGUUGUCACUGGUCCUAGGUGGCUGAUCCACUUCCAAUGUAGAUGAAAUGAACAUCUUUUUUGAA